GACGAACUGUGCAAACGUUAUUCGGAAUCACUGGGCUUGAAGAGUGCGUAGGCGGUUUCGUAAGUAGGGUGUGAAAGCCCCCAGCUCAACUGGGGAACUGCGUCCUAAACUGCGAGGCUGGAGUGAGGUAGGGGUGUGCGGAACUCCGGUGGAGCGGUGAAAUGUGUUGAGUAUCGGAAGGAACGCCGGUGGCGAAAGCGGCACACUGGACCUUGUCUGACGCUGAGGCACGAAAGCCAGGGGAGCAAACGGG
rnacentral:rRNA from 1 species